CAAAACCUCUCAGCAUUAAUUUGUUGGUUAUGGGUGCGGAGUAAGGCAUUAGCCCCUCCCACCUUAAACGUGACGCAUGAGGACCGGUUGUUACAACUAGGUUAAUGAAGUUGGUGUUUACAUAUAUUUCAUACCUUGGCUAUAGCAAUCCGGCAUUAAACCCAACGUUGCAGUUUCUGCAACUGAC
rnacentral:misc_RNA from 1 species